AGUGAACGCUGGCGGUAGGCCUAACACAUGCAAGUCGAACGGCAGCACAGUAAGAGCUUGCUCUUACGGGUGGCGAGUGGCGGACGAGUGAGGAAUACAUCGGAAUCUACUUUUUCGUGGGGGAUAACGUAGGGAAACUUACGCUAAUACCACAUACGACCUACGGGUGAAAGCAGGGGAUCUUCGGACCUUGCGCGAUUGAAUGAGCCGAUGUCGGAUUAGCUAGUUGGCGGGGUAAAGGCCCACCAAGGCGACGAUCCGUAGCUGGUCUGAGAGGAUGAUCAGCCACACUGGAACUGAGACACGGUCCAGACUCCUACGGGAGGCAGCAGUGGGGAAUAUUGGACAAUGGGCGCAAGCCUGAUCCAGCCAUACCGCGUGGGUGAAGAAGGCCUUCGGGUUGUAAAGCCCUUUUGUUGGGAAAGAAAAGCAGCAGGUUAAUACCCCGCUGUUCUGACGGUACCCAAAGAAUAAGCACCGGCUAACUUCGUG
rnacentral:rRNA from 1 species